GACGAACGCUGGCGGCGUGCUUAACACAUGCAAGUCGAACGGUGAAGCGCCUUCCUUUUUGGUGGGUGUGGAUGAGUGGCGAACGGGUGAGUAACACGUGAGUAACCUGCCCCCUUCUUCUGGAUAACCGCAUGAAAGUGUGGCUAAUACGGGAUAUUCUGGGUCUGUCGCAUGAUGGGUCUGGGAAAGAUAUUGUUUCGGUGGGGGAUGGGCUCGCGGCCUAUCAGCUUGUUGGUGGGGUGAUGGCCUACCAAGGCGGUGAGGGGUAGCCGGCCUGAGAGGGUCGACGGUCACACUGGGACUGAGACACGGCCCAGACUCCUACGAGAGGCAGCAGUGGGGAAUAUUGCACAAUGGGCGCAAGCCUGAUGCAGCGACGCCGCGUGAGGGAUGGAGGCCUUCGGGUUGUGAACCUCUUUCGCCAGUGAAGCAGGCCUGCCUCGUUUGUGGGUGGGUUGACGGUAGCUGGAUAAGAAGCGCCGGCUAACUACGUG
rnacentral:rRNA from 1 species